GAGAAAAAUAAAAACAAGCAAAGAAGUAAGAAAAGAGAGAGAGAAUAAAAGGGAGGGCAGAGGGAGACCAUGUUCAACUGCAUACCUGGGCCUAGUGUUUUAGUGGUCAUUAUAGUAUUGCUUAUGUUGUUAUAGACAUAAGGAAUAAGCACCACUCUCAGCUGUGAUCUCUGGACCAUGAGUGGAUACAUGAUUCAGUAUAAAUACCCUUCCCA
rnacentral:lncRNA from 10 species